rnacentral:rRNA from 1 species
CCUACGGGAGGCAGCAGUAGGGAAUCUUCCACAAUGGGCGAAAGCCUGAUGGAGCAACGCCGCGUGGGUGAAGAAGGUCUUCGGAUCGUAAAACCCUGUUGUUAGAGAAGAAAGUGCGUGAGAGUAACUGUUCACGUUUAGACGGUAUCUAACCAGAACGGCAGGGCUAACUACGUGCCAGCAGCCGCGGUAAUACGUAGGUGGCAGGCGUUAUCCGGAUUUAUUGGGCGUAAAGGGAACGCAGGCGGUCUUUGAAGUCUGAUGUGAAAGCCUUCGGCUUAACCGGUGUAGUGCAUUGGAACUGGGGGGACUUGAGUGCAGAAGAGGCGAGUGGAACUCCAUGUGUAGCGGUGAAAUGGGUAGAUAUAUGGAAGAACACCAGUGGCGAAAGCGGCUCUCUGGUCUGUAACUGACGCUGGGGUUCGAAAGCGUGGGUAGCAAACAGGAUUAGAUACCCUUGUGUC